rnacentral:lncRNA from 1 species
AAAUGAUAGUUUCUGGAUUUGACCAUAUUAAUGACUUAAGGCUCAUAUUUCUGUGUUUAUUAUAAUUAAGUCUAUGAUUUGAUAUUUGAUAGAGCAGUCUGCAGCAGGCUCGUAAGCAUUCAUUUAAACAGCAGCUCUUAGCAAUGCUGGGAUGCACAGCCCUGUUUAUGACUUCAAGCCUAUCAACUCCCAGAAUUAGGCUGGCAAUACUAAAGUGCCUGUAAGAACAUUCCAAUAGUCAAAGGUAUAUGGAAUACAAAUGGUAUAGAGAGAAAUAGACCUAUGAUUACUCUAAUAACUACAACCUAAAACUUCUUACCUGGGAAUAUUGAAGACUCAUGUUAAAAGGAACCACCAGCUUUCAUAUGUUCUCAUGUUCUGAGCGAGGAACUUAAACGUUAGCUUUUUUACAUGGCACAUAUUGCACUUUUACUUUCUUCUCCAACACUGUGUUUUUGCAUUAUUUAAACCAAAUUGAAAAUGCCUCAUUAUUUAUUUGAGACUAAAUUGAUUUUAGUUAUGUAUUAUAUUAAGUUAAAAUAAAAAAGUGUUCAUUGUUCAUUCAGUAGUGUUGUAAUUAUUACACAUAUAUAUAUAUAUAAAAAAAAAUACAUAAUUAUUAUUAUUUAUUUUUUAAUUCGUCCGAUUAGUCGGUAUUGGCUUUUUUUGGUCCUCCAAUAAAUCAGUAUCGGCGUUGAGAAAUCAUAAUCGGUCGACCUCUACAUUAAACAAAGCCUGUGUGUCCAUGUAUGCUGAUGAUUCAACCACAGACGCAUCAGCAACCACAGCUAAUGAAGUCACUGAAAACCUUAAAGAGUUGAGGUCUGUUUUGGAAUGGGUGGCCAGUAAUAAACUGGUCCUGAACAUCUCUAAAACUAAGAGCGUUGUAUUUGGUACAAAUCCUUCCUAGAGUUCUAGACCUCAGCUGAAUCUGGUAAUGAAUGGUGUGGCUGUUGAACAAGUUGAGGAGACUAAAUUACUUGGCGUUACCUUAGAUUGUAAACUCUAAUGGUCAAAACAUACAGAUUCAAUGGUUGUAAAGAUGGGGAGAGGUCUGGCCGUAAUAAAGGGAUGCUUUGCUUUUUUGACACCACACUGUAAAAAGCAGGUCCUGCAGGCUCUAGUUUUGUCUAAUCUUGAUUAUUGUCCAGUCGUGUGGUCCAGUGCUGCAAGGAAAGACCUAGUUAAGCUGCAGCUGGUCCAGAACAGAGCGGGACGUCUUGCUCGUCAUUGUAAUCAGAGGGCUGAUAUUAAUACUAUGGAUGCCAGUCUCUCUUGGCUAAGAGUUGAGGAAAGACUGACUGCAUCACUUCUUCUUAUAAGAAGUGUCUUUUGUCCUAUAUUUAUAUAUUUAAAAACAUUUACAUUUUUUUAUCCCAGGCCGUCAUUGUAAAUAAGAAUUAGUUUUUAAUUGACUUGCCUAGUUAAAUAAAAAAUAUAUAGAUUGUGUUAGAUCCCACAUUUUUUACAUUGUCAACUACACACAGAUCCGACACACACACUUACCCCACCAGACAUGCCACCAGGGGUCUUUUCACAGUCCCCAAAUACAGAACAAAUUCAAGAAAGCUUACUGUAUUAUUGUCAUUUAGCAGACACUCUUAUCCAUAGCGACUUACAGUAGUGAGUGCAAACAUUUUCAUAGUGAAAAUUAUGAAAUGGAUUAAUUUGCCCAAGUUAAUCAUAAGAUACGAACAAAAUGCAUCAGUGAUUGGAUCAGUGCAACUUCCUGAAAGAGCACAGGGCCCCUGUCUGUCUGUGUGUAGUGCUGCUCUGUAUGUCUGGUCUAUACUCUGUGUGUAGUGCUGCUCUGUGUGUAGUGCUGCUCUGUAUGUCUGGUCUACACUCUCUGUGUGUAGUGCUGCUCUGUAUGUCUGGUCUACACUCUGUGUGUAGUGCUGCUCUGUAUGUCUGGUCUACACUCUGUGUGUAGUGCUGCUCUGUAUGUCUGGUCUACACUCUCUGUGUGUAGUGCUGCUCUGUAUGUCUGGUCUACACUCUGUGUGUAGUGCUGCUCUGUAUGUCUGGUCUACACUCUCUGUGUUGCUGCUCUAUAUGUCUGGUCUACACUCUGUGUAGUGCUGCUCUGUAUGUCUGGUCUACACUCUGUAUAGUGCUGCUCUGUGUGUAGUGCUGCUCUGUAUGUCUGGUCUACACUCUGUGUUGUGCUGCUCUGUAUGUCUGGUCUACACUCUGUGUGUAGUGCUGCUCUGUAUGUCUGGUCUACACUCUGUGUGUAGUGCUGCUCUGUGUGUAGUGCUGCUCUGUAUGUCUGGUCUACACUCUGUGUGUAGUGCUGCUCUGUAUGUCUGGUCUAUACUCUGUGUGUAGUGCUGCUCUGUAUGUCUGGACUACACUGUGUGUGUAGUGCUGAUCUGUAUGUCUGGUCUACACACUGUGUGUUGUGCUGCUCUGUAUGUCUGGUCUACACUCUGUGCAGCUGUUAGAGAUAAUGCUAAUGAUAACUGUCUUCUGGUAGAGGGAAAGACUUUCCCAAACCUCCUCUAUUAAAUUUUAACUACAAAGUAGCAUAUGCCUACCUGGCAGAAUUAUAGAGAUCAUUUGUUUUGAAAACUCUGCACCAUCACAGAAGCACUACAGAAACACUACUAACCAAACAACAGUGCUAGGUGUCUGUGCUACAGAAACACUGCUAACCAAACAACAGUGCUAGGUGUCUGUACUACAGAAACACCGCUAACCAAACAACAGUGCUAGGUGUCUGUGCUACAGAAACACUGCUAACCAAACAACAGUGCUAGGUGGCUGUGCUACAGAAACACUGCUAACCAAACAACAGUGCUAGGUGGCUGUGCUACAGAAACACUGCUAACCAAACAACAGUGCUAGGUGGCUGUGCUACAGAAACACCGCUAACCAAACAACAGUGCUAGGUGGCUGUACUACAGAAACACUGCUAACCAAACAACAGUGCUAGGUGGCUGUACUACAGAAACACUGCUAACCAAACAACAGUGCUAGGUGGCUGUGCUACAGAAACACUGCUAACCAAACAACAGUCUCUGGCUGGUGAACACUUGUAUUAAAAGGAAACUACACCCCCCCCCCCCACAACAACAAAAAA